rnacentral:rRNA from 1 species
UACGGAGGGUGCAAACGUUGCUCGGAAUUAUUGGGCGUAAAGCGCACGUAGGCGGCCGACUAAGUCGGGUGUGAAAGCCCUGGGCUCAACCCAGGAAGUGCACUCGAAACUGACCGGCUUGAAUAUGGAAGAGGGUCGCGGAAUUCCAGGUGUAGCGGUGAAAUGCGUAGAUAUCUGGAGGAACACCGGUGGCGAAGGCGGCAUCCUGGACCAAUUCUGACGCUGAGGAGCGAAAGCCAGGGGAGCAAACGGG